GAUGAACGCUGGCGGCGUGCUUAACACAUGCAAGUCGAACGAGAAGUGAAGACGGAAACCUUCGGGCGGAAGGCUUUAUUUCGAGUGGCGGACGGGUGAGUAACGCGUGGGUAACCUGCCGCAUACAGGGGGAUAACAGUUGGAAACGACUGUUAAUACCGCAUAAGACCACAGCACCGCAUGGUGCGGGGGUAAAAACUCCGGUGGGAUGAGAUGGACCCGCGUUCGAUUAGCCAGUUGGCGGGGUAACGGCCCACCAAAGCGACGAUCGAUAGCCGAUCUGAGAGACUGACCGGCGACAUUGGCACUGAGACACGGCCCAAAAUACUACGGGAGGCAGCAGUGGGGAAUAUUGCAAAAUGGGGGAAACCAUGAUGCAGCGACGCCGCGUGAGUGAAGAAGUAUUUCGGUAUGAAAAGCUCUAUAAGCAGGGAAGAAAAUGACGGUACCUGAGGAAGAAGCCCCGGCUAACUACGUG
rnacentral:rRNA from 1 species